rnacentral:rRNA from 1 species
GAUGAACGCUGGCGGCGUGCUUAACACAUGCAAGUCGAACGGAGAAGGCGGGCUUUGCUCUGGUGGCUGAGUGGCGAACGGGUGAGUAACACGUGAGUAACCUGCCCCUGACUCUGGGAUAACCGCAGGCAACGGCGACUAAUACCGGAUACGAGCUGCGGAGGCAUGGUGAGCAGCGGAAAAGACGGGCGGUGAGGGAUGGUCUCGCGGCUUAUCAGCUUGUUGGUGAGGUACUGGCUCACCGAGGCGUCGACGGGUAGCCGGCCUGAGAGGGUGACCGGCCACACUGGGACUGAGAGACGGCGCAGACGCCUACGGGAGGCAGCAGUGGGGAAUAUUGCACAAUGGGCGAAAGCCUGAUGCAGCAACGCCGCGUGUGGGAAGACGGCCUUCGGGGUGUAAACCGCUUUUAGCUGGGACGAAGCGAGAGUGACGGUACCUGCAGAAGAAGCACCGGCUAACUACGUG